UUUUUUUUUUUUUUUUUUGGAAAAUAAUGCACAGCAUUUCAUUAAUAAUACAAGGCUACAAGCAAGGGGAUGCCCCCUAUGGAAAACAUUAUGAACUGACCAAGGAAAAAAGUCAAAUAUAGAAUCCCAUGCUCUAUAAAAGCUCACAAAGUAAAGCCAAGUACUGUUAGCCCAGAAGGAAAUAUAUACAUCGUACAUUAUAUUUGAGCCAAUUGCAGAUCCUCUAGCUCCUCCAAAAAUCCUCCUCUCGAAAGAUGUCAUAAAUGCUAAGAGACUCAUCCGAUACUACAAUUAACUCUGCCAACCAUGGAUACCAAGAGUCAACCAAGUUACAAAAGAUUCUCUGGCAGACUCCGAGACAAUUUGAACGAACUGCAAAAGAGGUUUAACUUGUUGUUCUGUUAAGACCCUGUUCUGGUUCGGCUACCAGGACUAGAAACAGUCCUCACACUAAGAGAUUCAGAUGAACUAUGCAAGUCCCGCUGACUGGAUGAAGCACUUCCUCGGAGACCAUGAGAUGGAACAUGGCGGGGAGAUCUGGAAGAUGGCUCACUCCCUCUAAAAGUUUCAGUCUCCAACAUCUUGGCUUCAUCAAUCAGCAUUGAUAACCGAAUUUCAUUCUCUCUCAAGCGAUCUUGGAGUGCAUUUAUAGCAGGACUUAAACAAUAUUCGAUCAAUUUGCACAUGGAAGCUUGAUAAGUUGCUGUGUGAUGUAUGAAGGUAAGGGGGUGUACUUUUCCAUCCCUCAAAUUUUGCAAGAUAGCUUGGUUAUAUGCUCCCCGCUCCUCUUCAUAUAAUACACGUUGCAAAUCCGUGAAUGACGUUAGAGGUGAAUCUAGCUUAAGAAGAGACCAUGUUGGCAAAACAUGAAGAGGAAUUUCUUUUCUGAUGUAUUCUGCACCACUCAUUUCCAAAUUUGAGCGGUGCAUAGCUUCUUGCAUACUUUCUGACAUAUCCAUGGGGUCGAUAUCAACAAAUGUGUUGUCUGAAUUGGCAGUGUGGUAGUUGCCUCCUAUUCUCUCUCUCCCAACAUAGUUGGCAUCAGCAUUUGCAAAGAAAUCCCCCAAGUCCAAAGAUUUUACCCCACCCUUACUUGAUCCUGCAGUUGUUCUUGAAUCACCAGUGUCUUGCUCUGGGUUCUCUACUCUUGCAGAUCCAGAUCUUGCUGAUGUAUUUUCUGAGGAACUUAAUGAUGACUCAACAUCUAUGUAACUUCUAUUCACAGGUGAUACAGAAAUUGGUCUUGAUAUGUUAUUUUGCUUUCCAUCUGACGACUGGAAAGCAAUGACUUGGAUUCUUCCAACCUUAUUUACAUCUUCACUGAAACAUGAAAAUAUCAGCCCGAUAAAGCCAGGAUCUAGAAGUUGAUACAUUGCCUGCGUUCGCACAUCUACAUGAGAAGGUAAAACUGUAAUAUGAGGAUGUGAAUGGUACCACCCUAUCACCCUUGUUGUCCGUCCUGUUGAUGUGGUCAUUCUCUCAGCCUGAGCUGAUGCAGCAGCCAACUGUUCUGGAUUUGUCUCUACACGAUCCUUUCGCCGAUCAGAUCUUGACUGAGGUGAAGCUCCCCAGAUUAGUGCAGUUACACCCCCAUUUUUAGAGUACUGAUAUUUCCAACAUAAGAACCAAAACCAUCAUAAUAUGGAAUUAGAAUUCUCCAUUCCAAUAAGUGCGCUCUUACAUACUUGGAGAACCAAGGAACAAACACAUUUCCUAAAAUACAAAAUUCUCAGCUGCAGCCAAACAAGAAGAUGAAGGGGAGAGAAAGGACUUGAAGAACCAUAUUCAAGAACUAUGUUAUGUUAUAUGCAAAGAUAGAGCUGCUGAAUUGUACAUAAGAGAUCACAAGAUGAGUGCCACACCCCCAUAAUAUACAUGCAUGUAUACUACUAUGCAGGUUAAUUAAAGCAUAUUUGAAGGUUUAUGCGUUUUUUUUUUUAAUUUGAAUAAAUAUGCCAAAGUAUUGAAAGUAGAUCACCACUAGACUAUUUAACAAAAUACAUCAUAAAACGGUGUGAUUCCAUGGCUCUUCAGGAAUGCUUCAAGUAAACAAAACUUUAUUCCCUACAAGACAGAAACUUUUACAUGUGCUGAUGUUUUGGAUUUUCAGUCAUACUUCAGGCUUUCAAAGAAAAAAGUGUCAGCAUAUUGAGUUCAAUGUACUCUAAAAGAAUUACCUGGCAUGUGAGAAUGAUAAUGACAAAUUAGGAACACAAGCUAUACAAUCAACAAUAGCAUCAAUAGCCUAACUUUUUUCUUUAGUUUUGCUAAAGCUACUUGGAGAUGCAUUGUUCAGUACAAAGUUUCACAUCUCCUAUAUCUUUACAAGCCAGAACCAAGCAGCUUAAUAAGACUAUAAAUUCACGCCAAGGG
rnacentral:misc_RNA from 1 species